rnacentral:snoRNA from 1 species
GAAAGUGAUGACUUAAACAUUCUUCACUUUGACCUGAGUAACAGUGAUGAUAGCUUUCCGUCUGAGA